UACGAAGGGGCUAGCGUUGCUCGGAAUGACUGGGCGUAAAGCGCACGUAGGCGGUUCGUUAAGUCGGAUGUGAAAGCCCUCGGCUCAACUGAGGAAGUGCACCCGAAACUGGCGAGCUUGAGUACGAAAGAGGAUCGCGGAAUUCCCGGUGUAGAGGUGAAAUUCGUAGAUAUCGGGAGGAACACCGGUGGCGAAGGCGGCGAUCUGGGUCGAUACUGACGCUGAGGUGCGAAAGCGUGGGGAGCAAACAGGG
rnacentral:rRNA from 1 species